GUGCAGCUAGCUCAGUCAGUAGAGCAUGAGACUCUUAAUUUCAUGUCGUGUGUUCCUACCUCACAUUGGGCA
rnacentral:tRNA from 1 species